rnacentral:misc_RNA from 1 species
GUGAAGAACGCAGCGAAAUGCGAUAAGUAGUGUGAAUUGCAGAAUUCAGUGAAUCAUCGAAUCUUUGAACGCACAUUGCGCCCCUUGGUAUUCCAUGGGGCAUGCCUGUUCGAGCGUCAUUUGUACCUUCAAGCUCUGCUUGGUGUUGGGUGUUUGUCUCGCCUCUGCGUGUAGACUCGCCUCAAAACAAUUGGCAGCCGGCGUAUUGAUUUCGGAGCGCAGUACAUCUCGCGCUUUGCACUCAUAACGACGACGUCCAAAAGUACAUUUUUACACUCUUGACCUCGGAUCAGGUAGGGAUACCCGCUGAACUUAAGCAUAUCAAUAAGCGGAGGA